rnacentral:rRNA from 1 species
UACGUAGGGUGCAAGCGUUGUCCGGAAUUAUUGGGCGUAAAGAGCUCGUAGGCGGUUUGUCGCGUCGGCUGUGAAAACUCGGGGCUCAACCCCGAGCCUGCAGUCGAUACGGGCAAACUAGAGUGCUGUAGGGGAGACUGGAAUUCCUGGUGUAGCGGUGAAAUGCGCAGAUAUCAGGAGGAACACCGGUGGCGAAGGCGGAUCUCUGGGCCAUUACUGACGCUGAGGAGCGAAAGCGUGGGGAGCGAACAGG